rnacentral:rRNA from 1 species
UACAGAGGUCCCAAGCGUUGUUCGGAUUUACUGGGCGUAAAGGGCGCGUAGGCGGCCAGCGCAAGUCAGUUGUGAAAUCUCCGGGCUUAGCUCGGAACGGUCAACUGAUACUGCGCGGCUAGAGUGCAGAAGGGGCAACUGGAAUUCUCGGUGUAGCGGUGAAAUGCGUAGAUAUCGAGAGGAACACCUGCGGCGAAGGCGGGUUGCUGGGCUGACACUGACGCUGAUGCGCGAAAGCCAGGGGAGCGAACGGG